rnacentral:rRNA from 1 species
GACGAACGCUGGCGGCGUGCUUAACACAUGCGAGUCGAACGGAAAGGCCCUGCUUUUGUGGGGUGCUCGAGUGGCGAACGGGUGAGUAACACGUGAGUAACCUGCCCUUGACUUUGGGAUAACUUCAGGAAACUGGGGCUAAUACCGGAUAGGAGCUCCUGCUGCAUGGUGGGGGUUGGAAAGUUUCGGCGGUUGGGGAUGGGCUCGCGGCUUAUCAGCUUGUUGGUGGGGUAGUGGCUUACCAAGGCUUUGACGGGUAGCCGGCCUGAGAGGGUGACCGGCCACAUUGGGACUGAGAUACGGCCCAGACGCCUACGGGAGGCAGCAGUGGGGAAUAUUGCACAAUGGGCGGAAGCCUGAUGCAGCAACGCCGCGUGCGGGAUGACGGCCUUCGGGUUGUAAACCGCUUUCGCCUGUGACGAAGCGUGAGUGACGGUAAUGGGUAAAGAAGCACCGGCUAACUACGUG